UACGUAGGGGGCUAGCGUUGUCCGGAUUUAUUGGGCGUAAAGAGCUCGUAGGCGGUGUGUCGCGUCGGCCGUGAAAACCUGCAGCUUAACUGUGGGCUUGCGGUCGAUACGGGCAUCACUGGAGUUCGGCAGGGGAGACUGGAAUUCCUGGUGUAGCGGUGAAAUGCGCAGAUAUCAGGAGGAACACCAGUGGCGAAGGCGGUGCUCUGGGCCGGAACUGACGCUGAGGAGCGAAAGCGUGGGGAGCAAACAGG
rnacentral:rRNA from 1 species